rnacentral:rRNA from 1 species
CCCCUUGACAUGGCAGGAAUCCUGGAGAGAUCUGGGAGUGCUCGAAAGAGAACCUGCACACAGGUGCUGCAUGGCUGUCGUCAGCUCGUGUCGUGAGAUGUUGGGUUAAGUCCCGCAACGAGCGCAACCCUUGUCAUUAGUUGCUACGCAAGAGCACUCUAAUGAGACUGCCGGUGACAAACCGGAGGAAGGUGGGGAUGACGUCAAGUCCUCAUGGCCCUUAUGGGUAGGGCUUCACACGUCAUACAAUGGUACAUACAGAGGGCCGCCAACCCGCGAGGGGGAGCUAAUCCCAGAAAGUGUAUCGUAGUCCGGAUUGUAGUCUGCAACUCGACUACAUGAAGUUGGAAUCGCUAGUAAUCGCGGAUCAGCAUGUCGCGGUGAAUACGUUCCCGGGUCUUGUACACACCGCCCGUCACACCAUGGGAGCGGGUUUACCAGAAGUAGGUAGCUUAACCGUAAGGAGGGCGCUUACCACGGUAGGAUUCGUGACUGGGGUGAAGUCGUAACAAGGUAAGCGUAGAUGA